rnacentral:rRNA from 1 species
UACGUAGGGGGCGAGCGUUGUCCGGAAUCAUUGGGCGUAAAGCGCGUGUAGGCGGCUCGAUAAGUCCGGUGUGAAAUCUUGGGGGCUCAACCCCAAGCCUGCACUGGAUACUGUCGAGCUUGAGUCCGGGAGGGGAGAGCGGAAUUCCUAGUGUAGCGGUGAAAUGCGCAGAUAUUAGGAAGAACACCGGUGGCGAAGGCGGCUCUCUGGAACGGUACUGACGCUGAGACGCGAAAAGUGUGGGGGAGCAAACAGG